rnacentral:rRNA from 1 species
GACGAACGCUGGCGGCGUGCUUAACACAUGCAAGUCGAACGGUAAGGCCCUUCGGGGUUCACGAGUGGCGAACGGGAGAGUAACGCUUGCGUAACCUUCCCCUCCCCUUGGGUUUACAGUUGGUACCGGCUGCUAAUACUGGUUAUUCAUCUGCUCUCGUACGGCGGGGGGUGGGAAGGAUAGGUGGUGGGGGAUGGGCUCGCGGCCUAUCAGCUUGUUGGUGGGGUGAUGGCGUACCAAGGCGUUGACGGGUAGCCGGCCUGAGAGGGGGACCGGCCACAUUGGGACUGAGAUACGGCCCAAACUCCUACGGGAGGCAGCAGUGGGGAAUAUUGCACAAUGGGCGGAAGCCUGAUGCAGCAACGCCGCGUGCGGGAUGACGGCCUUCGGGUUGUAAACCGCUUUCGGCAGGGACGAAGCGCGAGUGACGGUACCUGCUAAAGAAGCACCGGCUAACUACGUG